AUUCAGCUGACGAGUUCAAAAUAGGACGAAAUUCGGGUCCUGGAU
rnacentral:hammerhead_ribozyme from 1 species